rnacentral:tRNA from 1 species
UGCGGGUUAGCUCAACGGUAGAGCAUCGGCCUUUGACGCCGAGGACGUAGGUUCGACACCUGCACCCGCUGCCA